rnacentral:rRNA from 1 species
GCCGACGGGUGGCAGCAGUGAGGAAUAUUGGUCAAUGGGCGCGAGCCUGAACCAGCCAAGUAGCGUGAAGGAUGACUGCCCUACGGGUUGUAAACUUCUUUUAUAAAGGAAUAAAGUGAGGCACGUGUGCCUUUUUGUAUGUACUUUAUGAAUAAGGAUCGGCUAACUCCGUGACAGCAGCCGCGGUAAUAUGGAGGAUCCGAGCUUUAUGCGGAUUUAAUGGGUUUAAAGGGAGCGUAGGUGGAUGGUUAAGUUAGUUGUGAAAGUUUGCGGCUCAACCGUAGAAUUGCAGUUGAAACAGGCCGUCUUGAGUACAGUAGAGGUAGGCGGAAUUCGUGGUGUAGCAGUGAAAUGCUUAGAUAUCACGAAGAACUGCGAUUGCGAAGGCAGUUCACUGGACUUCAACUGACACUGAGGCUCGAAGGUGUGGGUAUCAAACAGGAUCAGAU